rnacentral:lncRNA from 1 species
AGAGACCGGUUCCCGAGAGCUAGGAUUUCAAGACUUAGCCAAUUUUUGGCUUUUCUCGCUGGGAUCACGUUCGGGGACCGGUCUCUCCCUGCCAGGGACCGGUUGCAUCAAAGAUCCCCGCAACCCCAGCCGAUGGGACCGGUCCCUCCCUGCCAGGGACCAAUCCCCAAGAGCAGUUUUGCUCCAGUGCAGGUUUUGCACUGUUUGGUCCCGUGGACUCGCUUCCAAAACACUUUUGGUGAUUUUAACAUCUUUGGCUUUUCCAAAGCUCACCAACACGACCCUUGGUCGAUUUUGCAUGAAGUCUAACUCUCGCAUUUCAAGAAUUCACUUCCUCACAUCCUCCCCUCCUAAAAAGGAGUUUCGUCCUCGAAACGAAUUCAUUAACUUAAUUAACUCAUACCUCAUUGCGUUUCCUCAAAGAGAUGAGGAUAAUGCACUUUCAUCGAUUCCUCGAGUUCCCACGUGGCCUCACGAUUGUCGUGACCGGUCCAACGAAUCUUCACAUACGGAAUCUCACGGUUUCUCAGCUUCCGCACUUCUCGAGCAAUGAUCAUCGCCGGAAACUCUUCAUAGCUCAAAUCCUCUUGUACAUCCGGCGGUUCGUAAUACAU